rnacentral:tRNA from 1 species
AAGGGAGACCUAAUUCAGGUAGGAGACGAAAAAAAAGUAGUCCCAGCCAAGAAUCAAUCCCAAAAGGUCGGAGCGAGGCGAAAUUGGCUUUCAAACUAGGUUCUGGGUUCACACAAGACCUGAAUCAGGAACAAGGGCUAUUAGCUCAGGUGGUUAGAGCGCACCCCUGAUAAGGGUGAGGUCCCUGGUUCGAGUCCAGGAUGGCCCACCUGUACAGGUGGCAAAAAGAAAGAAAAGAAGCGAGGAAUCAGCACCUUAUCUUACUGACAUAGUAAGAGAGAAUGCUGGCUCUGAGUAAAGAGUCCAGAGGAACCUUGAAAACUGCAUAGAGCUAGGUGAAAAAGCCAAAAAAGAAGACCGCAA